rnacentral:rRNA from 1 species
AACGAACGCUGGCGGCGUGCCUAACACAUGCAAGUCGAACGGGGAUAGGGAGCUUGCUUCCUAUUCUAGUGGCGCACGGGUGAGUAACGCGUAGAUAAUCUGCCUGACGAUCCGGGAUAACAUCUCGAAAGGGGUGCUAAUACCGGAUAGGCCCACGGGGUCUUUGGAUCUUGCGGGAAAAGGGGGGGACCUUUUGGCCUUCUGUCGUCAGAUGAGUUGGGGUACCAUUAGCUAGUUGGUAGGGUAAAGGCCUACCAAGGCUACGAUGGUUAGCUGGUUUGAGAGAAUGAUCAGCCACACUGGAACUGAGACACGGUCCAGACUCCUACGGGAGGCAGCAGUGGGGAAUUUUGCGCAAUGGGCGAAAGCCUGACGCAGCAACGCCGCGUGAGUGAUGAAGGCUUUCGGGUCGUAAAGCUCUGUCGAGGGGAAAGAAGUGUAUUGUGGCUAAUAUCCGCGAUACUUGACGGUACCCCUAAAGGAAGCACCGGCUAACUCCGUGCCAGCAGCCGCGGUAA